UGCUGCUGCCUGUAGAUGGGACU
rnacentral:misc_RNA from 1 species